UCAGGAUGAACGCUGGCGGCGUGCCUAACACAUGCAAGUCGGGCGGAGAUGUGAGAGAUUCUCGGAUGAUUCUUCAUCUUAGCGGCGGAUGGGUGAGUAACACGUGGGUAACCUGCCCUGCACAGGGGGAUAACAGCUGGAAACGGCUGUUAAUACCGCAUAUGCACACGCUGCCGCAUGGCAGAGGGUGGAAAGAUUUAUCGGUGCAGGAUGGGCCCGCGUCGGAUUAACUAGUUGGCAGGGUAACGGCCUACCAAGGUUAUGAUCCGUAGCCGACCUGAGAGGGUGACCGGCCACAUUGGGACUGAGACACGGCCCAAACUCCUACGGGAGGCAGCAGUGGGGGAUAUUGCACAAUGGGCGGAAGCCCUGAUGCAGCGACGCCGCGUGAAGGAAGAAGUAUUUCGGUAUGUAAACUUCUAUCAGCGGGGAAGAAGAUGACGGUACCCGACUAAGAAGCCCCGGCUAACUACGUGCCAGCCGCCGC
rnacentral:rRNA from 1 species